rnacentral:rRNA from 1 species
UACGAAGGGGGCGAGCGUUGUUCGGAAUUACUGGGCGUAAAGGGCGCGCAGGCGGCUCUGAAAGUCAGAUGUGAAAGCCCCGGGCUUAACCUGGGAAUUGCAUUUGAUACUCUGGAGCUUGAGUGUGGGAGAGGAGAGUGGAAUUCCCAGUGUAGAGGUGAAAUUCGUAGAUAUUGGGAAGAACACCGGUGGCGAAGGCGGCUCUCUGGACCACAACUGACGCUGAGGCGCGAAAGCUAGGGGAGCAAACAGGG